GGAUUGUUCAUUUUUUUUAGACACACAUUUUUAUUUUAUUUUCUGAAAAUAUAGGUUAAUUUAAGAUACUAAUUUGAAUGAUUUAGUAAUUCAUGGCUCGGUUGAAUAUUUAUAAUUUUUUGAAAAUAUGAGAUACGACUUUUCGUAAAUUACAUGUCGUCGGCUGUUUGAUAAAGCACAAGCAACAACAAGCAUUUAAAAAAAUAGUUGUCAUUGUCAAUUCACAAUUGAUUGUAAUGUCACCUGUCGACAAUGUCAGUGUCACAAGUUUCUAUAAAUAAUAUCGUCUGUCUGGAAUGGAAAACUUGUUUAAUUUGAUUCCCUAAAUCAUUAAUUUCAAAAUACCUACGCUAUAAAUUUGUGAAAGCUGAUUCCAGAAAUCUGCCUAAGUUAUAUAAUAUAACUUAGUUUUAUUGGAGUAUGUAUCCAUAUAGCUUCCAACUCCAAGCAUAACUUGGCUGAAAUACAACAGGGGAGCAAAAAUACAAAUGUCAUCCUGUGAUUCCUAUUGAGAUACAGCUGUGGGAUAUGUAAUGUACAAAGGAGAUUGAUUUUGUUAAGGCACUUGGGCCCAGAACAAAGUUGAGCAUUUUGUUUUGAAACGAACGUCAUAUUAAUUAUUAAUCGUCGUAAUACUUUACUACCGUAAAUAAUGCCUGGGAACAGAGUAAAUAACAAACCAUACACUUCUCUUAUGGUUGGUCAACAAGAAGCCAUCAUUGUCAGCUGCUCGUGCAGAACAUGAUAAACAUACAUAUAUGUAAAGUUACUAUUUUUAUUUUGGAAACAUAUAUGCAUAUAUUUCCUAAAUUAAUAAAAAAGUAGGUAAACCAAAA